UAACGCGUAGAUAACAUACCUUUUACUGGGGGAUAACAUCUGGAAACGGGUGCUAAUACCGCAUAAGUGCAGAGCUGAGAUGUUUUGCAUAAAAGAUUUAUUGGUAAGAGAUUGGUCUGCGUUGGAUUAGCUAGUUGGUGGGGUAAAGGCUUACCAAGGCGAUGAUCCAUAGUUGGUCUGAGAGGAUGACCAGCCACAGUGGGACUGAGACACGGCCCACACUCC
rnacentral:rRNA from 1 species